rnacentral:rRNA from 1 species
AGGACGAACGCUGGCGGCGUGCUUAACACAUGCAAGUCGCACGAGGAAGGGGAGCAAUCCCUGAGUACAGUGGCGCACGGGUGAGUAACACGUGAAUGAUCUACCUCCGAGUGGGUAAUAACUGAGAGAAAUCUUAGCUAAUACCGCAUAAUACCCACGGGUCAAAGCAGCAAUGCGCUUGGAGAGGAGUUCGCGGCAGAUUAGUUAGUUGGCGGGGUAAUGGCCCACCAAGACGAUGAUCUGUAUCCGGCCUGAGAGGGCGCACGGACACACUGGAACUGAAACACGGUCCAGACUCCUACGGGAGGCAGCAGUGGGGAAUUUUGCGCAAUGGGGGAAACCCUGACGCAGCAACGCCGCGUGGAGGAUGAAGCCCCUUGGGGUGUAAACUCCUUUCGAUCGGGAAGAUAAUGACGGUACCGAUAUAAGAAGCCCCGGCUAACUUCGCGCCAGCAGCCGC